rnacentral:rRNA from 1 species
GUUGAACGCUGGCGGCAGGCCUAACACAUGUAAGUCGAACGAGUGGCGGACGGGUGAGUAAUGUCUGGGAAACUGCCUGAUGGAGGGGGAUAACUACUGGAAACGGUAGCUAAUACCGCAUACCAUCAGAUGUUCCCAGAUGGGUUUAGCUAGGUGGUGGGGUAACGGCUCAACAAGGCGACGAUCCCUAGCUGGUCUGAGAGGAUGACCAGCCACACGGGAACUGAGACACGGUCCAGACGCCUACGGGAGGCAGCAGUGGGGAAUAUUGAACAAGGGGCGCAAGACUGAUGCAGCCAUGCCGCGUGUAUGAAGAAGGCCUUCGGGGUGUAAAGUACUUUCAGCGGGGAGGCGUUACCCGCAGAAGAAGCACCGGCUAACUCCGUGCCAGCAGCCGCGGUAAUAC